GACAAACGAGGAGCGUCAAUCUAACGUAAAUGCUUUUCAAUAAAUGUCUUUAGUUCCUGCACAAUGAACAUGAAUCUCAAAUUAAAUGAUUAAUAUUCCCCAAAUUCCAAUUAACUACACUUCCGCUGUUACAGAGGGGAAACACUGUAAUCAUACUGUAAACUUUCAAAAGUUCAUAUAUUGUGCAUAGUUUGAAGUGACUUUUUUUUUUCUUCAAUUGUGUUUGGGUUCAGGCUCUGUUUAGGAUCGGUAUCGGAAAAACCCAAACGAUACUCAUCCCUACUCUCAUGUCUGCGCGCUCAACGUGAAGCUAAAGCCAGCCGCUGGUUAGCUUAGCAUGAAGACUGGAGACAAGAGGGCUCGAAAGGGAUGUUUAUAAAUCCAGAUUCAACAGUUUACAAAUUUCUGACUUGAUGAAACAAUGGACAAAAAUCGUUCUUUAUGUUUUCUUAAAGUGUUUGCUUUCAAGAUCAAGAUGGGGUCAUAGAAAAAAACAAGUAGAGCAAAGUGUUUUAUGCACCAUGUUAAGUGGAUGAGCUCCAUCAAUACAAAUACACCGUCCACACACACACAUUUACUCUAAAGGCUCAUUUGCAUAUUGUAGAUACCUUCACUGUAACCAUAGAGACGUUACAUCAUGAUGGAACAUUUCUCAAUGUUCCAUGUUCUAUGCUCCGUUCACCACAGCAUAAGAAACACAGUCUGUUGCACAUCCAGUCAGUCAGUUUCAAACCUCGCAUCUACACACUGAAGUUUUCCGGACCUACACUUGCAGAAAGCAACCAUGUAAUGCCUCAGGAGUCUGUAGAGGGGACGAAGACGCGUUCUGCUGCACUUAACAGAGCUCAAGACCAACAGGACGCCAUCAGGACGCCACGUCAACGGGACGCCAUCAGGACGCCAUCAGGACGCCAUCAGGACGUCAUGUCAACCCCUCAGGAGCAAAUCCAGAUCUACGCAUGACACACACACACACCCACACUCACACACACACAGAUCUACUCAGAGACACACAUAUUGUGAGAUGUACACACAGACACACUAACAUUUAGAUGUACACACAGACACACUAACAAUUAGAUGUAACACACAUACACACUAACAUUUGGUUAUAAACAAAGACACGCAUUAACAUAUAGAUGUACACAAAGACACAUUAAUAUUUAGAUGUACACACAGACACACUAACAUUUGGUUCUAAACAAAGACACACAUUAAUAUUUAGAUGUACACAAAGACACAAUAACAAUUAGAUGUACACACAGACACACUAACAUUUAGAUGUACACACAGACACAUUAGUAUUCAGAAGUACACAAAAACACACAAACAUCAGAGACACACUAACAUUUGGUUCUAAAAAAGACACACACUAACAUUUAGAUGUACACAAAGACACAUUAAUAUUUUGAUGUACACACAGACACACUAACAAUUAGUUGUACACACAGACACACUAACAAUUCGAUAUUCACACAGACACACUAACAAUUAGAUGUACACACAUACACACUAACAUUUGGUUCUAAACAAAGACACUUACUAACAUUUAGAUGUACACAAAUACACAUUAAUAUGUAGAUGUACACACAGACACACUAACAUUUAGAUGUACACAAAGACACAUUAAUAUUUAGAUGUACACACAGACACACUAACAUCUGGUUCUAAACAAAGACACACACUAAUAUUUAGAUGUACACAAAGACAUAUUAAUAUUUAGAUCUACACACAGACACACUGACAAUUCGAUGUUCACACAGACACACUAACAAUUCGAUGUACACACAGACACAUUAGUAUUCAGAAGUACACAAAAACACACAAACAUCUGGUUCUGCACAAAGACACAUUAAUAUUUAAAUGUACACACAGACCCACUAACAAUUAGAUGUACACACAGACACAUCCUGAUGAUCCUCCUCACGUCUCUUCUCCUUGUCUGCAGACCAACAGGACGCCAUCAGGACGCCAUCAGGACGCCACACCAACAGGACGCCAUCAGGACGCCAUCAGGACGCCACGUCAACGGGACGCCAUCAGGACGCCGUCAGGACUCCAU
ensembl:lncRNA